ACUCAAAUGAAUUGACGGGGGCCCGCACAAGCAGUGGAGCAUGUGGUUUAAUUCGAAGCAACGCGAAGAACCUUACCAGGGCUUGACAUCGGCUUGACCGGAACAGAGAUGUUCCUUCCCUUCGGGGCAAGCUAGACAGGUGGUGCAUGGUUGUCGUCAGCUCGUGUCGUGAGAUGUUGGGUUAAGUCCCGCAACGAGCGCAACCCUUGAUCUGUGUUGCCAGCAUGUAAUGGUGGGCACUCACAGGUGACUGCCGAGGACAACUCGGAGGAAGGCGGGGAUGACGUCAAAUCAUCAUGCCCCUUAUGUCCUGGGCUACACACGUGCUACAAUGGGCGGAACAAAGGGGAGCAAAGCCGCGAGGUGGAGCGAAUCCGAUAAAACCGUUCGUAGUUCGGAUUGCAGGCUGCAACUCGCCUGCAUGAAGCCGGAAUUGCUAGUAAUCGCGGAUCAGCAUGCCGCGGUGAAUCCGUUCCCGGGCCUUGCACACACCGCCCGU
rnacentral:rRNA from 1 species